GUAAUCCUGUGAUGUGCGUGAUGCCUUGUAUGUUUUAAACCUAACAAGCUUGUCCAGGGAGCCGUCAUCCGAUAGAUGGCACAAGGUCUUGGGACCAGGGCCAUCGGUGGGCACCCACCUGCGUAUGCAGGUAUAUGACUCGGAAGGCACACGGCGUCGCAGGAUGAUC
rnacentral:other from 1 species